rnacentral:rRNA from 1 species
GGGAAGAAUAACUGAAUUCAGAGAAAGUUUUCAGCUUGACGGUACCUUACCAGAAAGGGAUGGCUAAAUACGUGCCAGCAGCCGCGGUAAUACGUAUGUCCCGAGCGUUAUCCGGAUUUAUUGGGCGUAAAGCGAGCGCAGACGGUUUAUUAAGUCUGAUGUGAAAUCCCGAGGCCCAACCUCGGAACUGCAUUGGAAACUGAUUUACUUGAGUGCGAUAGAGGCAAGUGGAACUCCAUGUGUAGCGGUGAAAUGCGUAGAUAUGUGGAAGAACACCAGUGGCGAAAGCGGCUUGCUAGAUCGUAACUGACGUUGAGGCUCGAAAGUAUGGGUAGCAAACGGGAUUAGAUACCCCGGUAGUCCAUACCGUAAACGAUGGGUGCUAGUUGUUAAGAGGUUUCCGCCUCCUAGUGACGUAGCAAACGCAUUAAGCACCCCGCCUGAGGAGUACGGCCGCAAGGCUAAAACUUAAAGGAAUUGACGGGGACCCGCACAAGCGGUGGAGCAUGUGGUUUAAUUCGAAGAUACGCGAAAAACCUUACCAGGUCUUGACAUACCAAUGAUCGCUUUUGUAAUGAAAGCUUUUCUUCGGAACAUUGGAUACAGGUGGUGCAUGGUCGUCGUCAGCUCGUGUCGUGAGAUGUUGGGUUAAGUCCCGCAACGAGCGCAACCCUUGUUAUUAGUUGCCAGCAUUUAGUUGGGCACUCUAAUGAGACUGCCGGUGAUAAACCGGAGGAAGGUGGGGACGACGUCAGAUCAUCAUGCCCCUUAUGACCUGGGCAACACACGUGCUACAAUGGGAAGUACAACGAGUCGCAAACCGGCGACGGUAAGCUAAUCUCUUAAAACUUCUCUCAGUUCGGACUGGAGUCUGCAACUCGACUCCACGAAGGCGGAAUCGCUAGUAAUCGCGAAUCAGCAUGUCGCGGUGAAUACGUUCCCGGGUCUUGUACACACCGCCCGUCAAAUCAUGGGAGUCGGAAGUACCCAAAGUCGCUUGGCUAACUUUUAGAGGCCGGUGCCUAAGGUAAAAUCGAUGACUGGGAUUAAGUCGUAACAAGGUAGCCGUAGGAGAACCUGCGGCUGGAUCACCUCCUUUCUAAGGA